rnacentral:lncRNA from 1 species
GUUGAAUUUUCCUGAGGGAGGGGCCCCAGGAGAGUUUCGAGACUCAAAGAUGACGAUAUUAUCUGCAAUAUCAAGCACACAAUAAUCUUUGUGUUUUAGUGUUCUCGGAGCCACAGGAGAUUAAGUAAGGAGACUGGGGAGCAAUCUAGCGUUGGACUGCCCCUUGAGAGGAAGAGGAGGAAGCAAGAUACAAUAACUGUGGUUUCUGAGAAACUUUGCAAGGAAAUGAAACAAUAACAGAGCAGAAGAUCAACAAUUCCAGGUAAACAACAUGCACUAUGUUGGCUUUACGUAUAUGGGAAUUUUCAUCCUUACAUUAUUAAACUCCCAUGGCUAAUACUGCAAUUAGU